AGAUUGAACGCUGGCGGCAGGCCUAACACAUGCAAGUCGAGCGGUAGAGAGGUGCUUGCAUCUCUUGAGAGCGGCGGACGGGUGAGUAAUGCCUAGGAAUCUGCCUAGUGGUGGGGGAUAACGUUCGGAAACGGACGCUAAUACCGCAUACGUCCUACGGGAGAAAGCGGGGGACCUUCGGGCCUCGCGCCAUUAGAUAAGCCUAGGUCGGAUUAGCUAGUUGGUGAGGUAAUGGCUCACCAAGGCGACGAUCCCGUAACGUGUCGAGAGAG
rnacentral:rRNA from 1 species